ACCGGAGAGGGAGCCUGAGAAACGGCUACCACAUCCAAGGAUGGCAGCAGGCGCGCAAAUUACCCAAUCCCGACACGGGGAGGUAGUGACAAUAAAUAACAAUACGGGGUUCUUUNNGAUCUCGUAAUUGGAAUGAGUACAAUUUAAAUCUCUUAACGAGGAACAAUUGGAGGGCAAGUCUGGUGCCAGCAGCCGCGGUAAUUCCAGCUCCAAUAGCGUAUAUUAAAGUUGUUGCAGUUAAAAAGCUCGUAGUUGAAUUUCGGGGUUAGUAGGUUGGUCAUGCCUCUGGUAUGUACUGGUCUCACUGAUUCCUCCUUCCUUAUGAACCGUAAUGCCAUUAAUUUGGUGUUGCGGGGAAUUUGGACUGUUACUUUGAAAAAAUUAGAGUGUUUAAAGCAAGCUAACGCUUGAAUACAUUAGCAUGGAAUAAUGAAAUAGGACGUUCGAUCUUAUUUUGUUGGUUUCUAGGAUUGACGUAAUGAUUAAUAGGGAUAGUUGGGGGCAUUAGUAUUCAAUUGUCAGAGGUGAAAUUCUUGGAUUUAUUGAAGACUAACUACUGCGAAAGCAUUUGCCAAGGAUGUUUUCAUUAAUCAAGAACGAAAGUUAGGGGAUCGAAGACGAUCAGAUACCGUCGUAGUCUUAACCAUAAACUAUGCCGACUAGGGAUCGGAUGAUGUUAAUUUUUUAAUGACUCAUUCGGCGCCUUACGGGAAACCA
rnacentral:rRNA from 1 species